ACACAUUCGGCCCUGCGUGACUGGAAGCCACUUCCACAGGUCACAGUGCACAUUCGCCAUGGUGACACCCUCCAGUGAACAUCGCACAUUUCUGAUGUGCAGUUCCUUACCGAGGCCGGUCUGAGAACAGAGAGUGGUCCGCUGAUCCACUCAGCACAAGCUCCUGAAACACAUGGCUCUCUGUGUUCAGGGCGUGACAUUCCUUCACACGCUGCAUCAGCCAAAACUCGAAUGCUCCCGCUGGCCUCCAGACGCUGGCAUGACACCCGCCUCUGCCGGAAACUGCGACCACAUGACGUGGAGCAUUUGGACCACACGGUGGACCCCCAGCUGAGAGGGUCAUGGGGGAGCCUGGCAUCUAUCGCAAGGGACUCUGGGCACAAGGGGGAGGAAACCGGAGUACCUGGAGGAAACCCCCGAAGCACGGGGAGAACAUGCAAACUCCACGCACAAGGAGCAGAGGUUGGAAUCGAACCCCCAUCCCCUAUUUACAUAGGGGUUUCCCUGUCAAGAGGAGAACCAAAUAAUUACAAAGGCUGGAAAUUGUGUGAAAACCAGCUCACCAGCCAUGUGGAUCCUGCUAGAGGCUGAAGCUUUGCCGAUGGGAUUGGAGGCUAUGCAGCUGUAGGUGCCGUCAUCUUGCGGCAUGAGAUUGUGAAGUAGCAGAGAGCCAUUUGGGAGUGAAAUGAUGUUGGCACUCAGCUUGCCCUCUAAACGGCCAGAGGCAAUGGUGGCAAGGAAAAACUCCCUGAGAUGACAUGAGGAAGAAACUUUGAGAGGAACCAGACUCAGAAGGGAACCCAUCCUCAUCUGGGUGACAAUGAUUAAGAAUUAAUUAUUAAUUAAUCCCUUCUAUAACUGUGUACUACAUGGUCAAAAAUGCAAUUGUGUAACCAAGAAAUUCAUUAUAGUAUUCACAUGAAGUCUAUCUUGUUGAACUUAUUAUCCACUGUUCACUGACGGACACUUGAUAGCAAAACUGUUUGUGGCAAUUGCAGUCCUAAAGCGAUCAUAGCAACUGUAGUUCUAAGUCAUCGUAAGCCAUCAGCAAAACUGUUCAUAUGAAUAUAAAUAUCUGACAUGUACUGGUCAUUCCCUGCAUGUGACAACAAUCUCUUGUAAUCUUCCAUGUCUGGGCUAUGGGGUAGGGUGGCUAGACUGGAGCACUUUGUCACAAAAUCCCCCCACAAAAAAUAUACAGGAAUGGUGGUGGCAGCAUCAUGCUAUGGGGCUGCUUCUCUUCAGUUGGGACUGGGGCUCUAGUCAAGAUAGAGGGAAUCAUAGAUAGCUCCAAAUACCAAUCUAUUUUGGCACAAAACCUGCAAGCCUCUAUUAGACAGCUAAAGAUGAAGAAAAAUUUCACCUUCCAGCAUGAUAACAAUUCAAAGCACAAAUCUAAUUCAACAAAGGAAUGGCUUCAGAAAAAGAUCAACCUUUGGAAUGUUCCAGUCAGAGCCCAGAUCUCAAGCCUAUCAUGAACCUGCAGAAUGACUUGAAGAGAGCUGUGUACAGGAGAUCCCCUCGUAAUUUAAUAGAUCCGGAGCAUUUUUGCAAGGAAAGGUGAAAUAAAAUUGGCAAAUCAUAAUGUCAGACUCUUAUCCAAAAACAGAGUGCUGUGUUAAAAGCAAAAGAUUCUGUAACAAAGAAUUAAUGAAUGUUUGUUGUAAGGGUUUUCUAGCUAGAUUACCAUGAGACUAAUCUGAAAAAAACAAAACAAAAAAAAAAAACAGAAAAAAAAACUGUGAAACCCCGUUUUAAUUCAGUCUUAAAACUACAUUUUAGGUCUGAAUGCCUACAGUAUCAAACAAUUUCAGGGCAGUCUUUGAGCUCAUAUGUGGAAUCACAUCAGAGCCUAAAUGAAUACAGAAUGAGAGGUUCCAUCCUUCCCUUUACAAAUGCUUCUUGUGUUUUCGAUUAAAUUUCUGAUAGCUAAAACGGCAAUCUGCAGUACAUCGAAGAAAGUUCCUUUAUAUGGUUGGAGCUGAUUUCCUUUCACUUGAAUAGUUGUGACAUUUAAGUCUUUUAAGAAGUGGAAGAGAAUUAAAGCACUAAAGGAUCCUUUCUUACCAAAGCUUUGGUCUGGAAACAGCCAAUUUCCGAAGCACAUCCUAGAUGGUUACAGAACAGAUGAUCAGAAAUAUCAAGGAUCAGAAAUGCUGUCAAGUAUGAACUGGAAGGAGUUCUAGUAGUGGUCGUGCACAAGAGUGGAGUAAAUGGUGAUUGGUAGGACAGAGCAGAUUAGCGCGAGGCCUGCAGACCGCCACAAAUUACUCGUACAAAUGGACAUAAUGAAUGCAAAUUGCUUUACUACAGUCUGCUCCCUUGAGACAUGUCCUGUCUGAGGUAAUGAGUAACACAUUGCCUGAGUCUGAGCUUUACAGCCCUUUAUUUUACAAAGGGGAAUCAUUAGACCUGACAUAUUUCUGAGCAUAUUGCAGACCUCAGGAGGGGAAAAUGCAGGGCAGAUAUGUCCAGGCUGGAGCACAAGAGGCUAGCUUGGGCACACUUUCUUAAACAAAUGAGAUAGUAACUCAUAUGAAAUGGUUUAACAGUGUCAUUAAAUAAUCGCUUAGUUUUUAAAAUGGUAUUUUCCUAUUCAUAAGUAUUGCUCCUACUUCCACUAGGGGGCACUAUUGUAAUAGUUUAAUACUGUAAUAUUAUGGGUGCAAUAGUCAUAGACCAGGUGACUUUUGGAAAAGAGAAAAAUGUAAUUAUGGCUAAUGACUGAAGAUAUAAUGAAAUGUGAUGCAAGAGGCUUUUAGAAGCAUGCGCACGCACACACACACACACACACACACACACACACACACACACACAUCUUACUAUUCUUGUGAGCACAAAAUUAAUUAGAAAAUAGGUUUUCAUCAUCAUCACCAAUCCUGGGUGAGUAUCAAAACUUUUUUAAAUCCCCAUACAAUAACAGUGUGUGGAGCUAUUGCUCACUCUGAACUAUUUAUUUAUCGACUGUGAGAGUUGGAUGGUACACCUUUGGACGUGACCUAUGAUUCGUUUCUCCUCCAUUUUGUUCAUCACUGAUGUGAAUAAUGAUCCACCCCAAACUCCAACUCUCUACUGGCUGACAGAUGAGUACAGAAGAAUGUUUUCAAUUCUGGUAACUUUUAAAUGCAUGAUGGGGUGUAUUAUCAAGCUUUGGUGCUGGUUUCACAGCAGCAAAUUAUUCUUAUUGAAAUGAAUGGCAUGUAUAGUGGUGCUUUUUUAGUAGGAUUUUCUAUAUUUCUGAAUAAAUAUAACUUUGUCCUAAAAGAAGAGAACCCAAUUAAAACAAAUGAAACAAAAAUAUUAUACUUGGUCAUUUAUUUAUUGAGGAAAAUGAUCCAAUAUUACAUGUCUCUGAGUGGGAAAAGUAUGUGAACCUUUGCUUUCAGUAUCUGGUGUGACCCCCUUGUGCAGCAAUAACUGCAACUAAAUGUUUCCGGUAAGUGUUGAUCAGUCCUGCACAUCAGCUUGGAGGAAUUUUAGCCCAUUCCUCAGUACAGAACAGCUUCAACUCUGGGAUGUUGGUUAUUUUCCUCACAUGGACUGCUUGCUUCAGGACUUUCCACAUUUCUAUUGGAUUAAGGUCAGGACUUUGACUUGGCCAUUACAAAACAUUAACUUUAUUCUUCUUUUAUUUAAUUUUUUGGUAGAACGACUUGUAUGCUGAAGGUCGUUGUCUUGCUGCAUGACCCACACUCUCUUGAGAUUCAGUUCACGGACAGAUGUCUUGACAUUUUCCUUUAGAAUUCGCUGGUAUAAUUCAGAAUUCAUAGUUCCAUCAAUGAUGGCAAGUCGUUGUGGCCCAGAUCUAUAAAAACAGGCCCAAACCAUUAUACUACCACCACCAUAUUCCACAGAUGGAAUAAAGUUCUGAUGCUGAAAUGCAGUGUUUUCCUUUCUCUAAACAUAACGCUUCUCAUUUAAACCAAAAUGUUCUAUUUUGGUCUCAUCCGUCCACAAAACUUUAUUCCAAUAGCCUUCUGGCUUGUCCACAUGAUCUUUAGCAAACUGCAGACAGGCAGCAAUGUUCUUUUUGGAGAGCAGUGGCUUUCUCCUUGCAGCUCUGCCAUGCACACCAUUGUUGUUCAGUGUUCUCCUGAUGGUGGACUCAUGAACAUUAGCCAAUGUGAGAGAGGUCUUUAUUUGCUUAGAAAUUACCCUGGGUUCCUUUGUGACCUCGUGGACUAUUACACGUCUUGCUCUUGGCGUGAUCUUUGUUGGUCGACCACUCCAAUUCAAUGGUAUUGAAUUUCCUCCAUUUGUACACAAGCUGUCUGACUGUGGAUUGGUGGAGUCCAAAUUCUUUAGAGAUGGUUUCCUAACCUUUUCCAGCCUGAUGAGCAUCAACAACUCUUUUUCUGAGGUCCUCAGAAAUCUCCUUUGUUCAUGCCAUGAUACACUUCCACAAACAUGUGCUGUGAAGAUCAGACUUUGAUAGAGCUCUGUUCUUUAAAUAAAACCGGGUGCUCACUCACACCUGAUUAUCAUUGCAUUGACUAAAAAACCCUGACUCUAAUUUCACCUUCAAAUUAACUGCUAAUCCUAGAGGUUCACAUACUUUUUCCACUCACAGAUAUUAAAAAUUGGAUCAUUUUCGACAAUAAAUAAAUGACCAAGUAUAA